UAUAUAUAUAUAUAAAUUUUCAAUCAACUCUAACCUUGAAUAUCAUUCUCAGGUGAUGAUAUCGUCUUAUUGCUACAAGCCUGAAUGCUCCAGCUCGGAUAAAUUACUACAAGCAGUCGAACAAUUCUACUUAUAAUACAAAAGAUACAUGAACGAAGAUGCUGUAAAGGUCAAAACUUACUUGCUCCAGUUUAUAUAAAAAAGCAGGCCAAACAUUGGUGAUAUCGAGGAGAGCCUGGCGAGAAGGUUUGCUGAUCUCUACUCCAAAGAGUUUCACACAAAGGUGAUGAUAACGUCUUAUUGCUACAAGCCUGAAUGCUCCAGCUCGGAUAAAUUACUGCAAGCAGUUGAACAAUUCUACUUAUAAUACAAAAGAUACAUGAACGAAGAUGCUGUAAAGGUGAUGAUAUCGUCUUAUUGCUACAAGCCUGAAUGCUCCAGCUCGGAUAAAUUACUACAAGCAGUCGAACAAUUCUACUUAUAAUACAAAAGAUACAUGAACGGAGAUGCUGUAAAGGUGAUGAUAUCGUCUUAUUGCUACAAGCCUGAAUGCUCCAGCUCGGAUAAAUUACUACAAGCAGUCGAACAAUUCUACUUAUAAUACAAAAGAUACAUGAACGAAGAUGCUGUAAAGGUGAUGAUAUCGUCUUAUUGCUACAAGCCUGAAUGCUCCAGCUCGGAUAAAUUACUACAAGCAGUCGAACAAUUCUACUUAUAAUACAAAAGAUACAUGAACGAAGAUGCUGUAAAGGUCAAAACUUACUUGCUCCAGUUUAUAUAAAAAAGCAGGCCAAACAUUGGUGAUAUCGAGGAG